UGCUUUUUGCCGUCUGAAAGCUGAAACAAAUGGGCACGUUAUUCUGUUUUGGCUUUGCUUUGGCUUUUUGUUGUUCUAUUCGGAGAUGUUGAGACGUGCACAUUUACAAGAAGAUAUAUUGAACUGGUAGCUUUUCACUCUUUUUUUGCUGAAACUAGUAGCUUUUAAUUAUUCUGAUUACAAUAACUCAUUAUCCUGAUUACAAUAUAAUUUAUCCUGAUUACUAUCUCAUUUAUUUUAUUCCUUAUUUAUAAAUUUCCAUACUUAUUCGCAAAAACACUCUCUGUCUACCCUGCUUCAUCUGCUCCUUUCUUAUUUAUUGGCUAAUUAAUCUAAUCUUAUGGAUUCCAAAGUAUGUUGACUACCAACUUUCUUAUUAAUUAAAAUCUAGAUUACUACACUUCAAUUUACGCUAUGAUCAUGUUAUUAGUGCACUUUUUGUUAGGACAGAGCUAAUAUUCUAUUUUUGUGUCUAGCAAAAUAUGGAUAAUGGUAAACGACCCCAGAUGGAAGAAGCCGAUUUGACUAAUCCGGAAAUCUUGAAAUAUUAUUUUUUGUUGUGCAAUGAAAUAUUCCCAGACGCCAAAAAAAUGGGUAUACAGGAGUUUAAAUGUAUUAAGAAGGAACUGAAUGAGAGAUUUAACUUGGAUUUUAGGAUAGUAGAUGUUGUGAACAAAUAUAGAGAUAUUUAUUACAAGUGGCAAAUUUGGGAAAAUUUUGUUAAUAAUAAGGAAUUCGUCUUAGCCCACGCCUGUACAGCGGACGUAUCAUGGCUGCAAAGUAAGUCCGAGGAAUGUCUUGAUACAAUUUCUGUAGAUAAAGAAGGUCAGCCAAGUAUAGGCCUCUUCAAAAUUUGUAUUUGGAAGCUCAACAAAUGGCAGCAAAGGAAGUGAUUCUUUGAAGCCAACGGCAACAGUACAUGAGCAUGUUGGGGACUCUUCAAGGGACUUGGAAUUCCAUGAGCCAAAAACCAACUCCUCCAAUGAAGAAAUCAGUUUAUUAGAUGACCGCCACAAUAUUUCUGAAAGUAGCAAAUGUGUAAGAUUAGGCGGCUACUGUCCAAAGAGAAUAAAAAUGAAUGGUAGUCGUUGGACACGGACUGCUUUAGAGGAUGACGUGUUUCAGGUGAGAAAAACAUUGAGGUUGGUCUCAAAAACUUGUGGCUUGAUGUCAAAUAAACAUUUCUAUUUGUUCACGGGGAGAUUAUUGAUGAAUCCACGUGAAAGAUCGUGGUUUUAUUUUGUCAAGCCCUCAUUGCGUUUGAGAUAUCUAGAAAAACAGUUUAAAAAGUUUAGUGCAGACAGAGUGAUACCAGAGCCGACCCAACCGACCGGCGCCGACCCUACCGUACCGCCUCUGGCUCCAACCGACUGAGCCGAGGCCAGCGAUCGGAAGGAGAAUCCUCGCCUGAGUCCAUGGACUCUGACCAACAACUGACCGUGAGUCACUGAGUUGCCUCUUGCAGCCAGCUCGGCACGACCAGGCCAGCUACCUCCUACCGCCGAUUUGAAGUAUGUCCUGAUCUGAAAAAUCUAAGUUUCACCUGUUGGUAUCUUACUAGUUUUGCAAUGUGAUAUACACAUGAAUGUUAAUUAAUUAGUUCUAGAGGUUAUCUCUUAAUUAAUCUUUUUUACUUGCUCUUUUAUUUCCUAAGGUAAGUUUGACUUUCAGUUUGCUAUUUUAUUUCUCUUAAAAGUGUUAGCCCAAAAUGAAGAUGUUGAAAUGGUCUGUUCAUGACUUGCAACCAGCCAAGAACUCAAAUGAGUGAUUGAAAGUAAGGGUGUGCAUGCAUGGGUAGGGUUGGAAAUUUACUUCAGAAUAUGCAGGAUUGAACAAAAGUUCAGAAGUAUGUUGGAAUACUCAAAAUUAGAUUCGUAUUGCAAAGACUCCAAGUCCCAAUGGUGUGAAUUUUAAAGCGCACCACCCUGUUAAAAUCCAUCCACUUGAGUAUGUAAGUAUUUCAGACCCACUUGCAAGAGAGUCUAUGUAUGAAUUGAAUAAAGUUUGAGCAAACAUUCGAUUUA